rnacentral:pre_miRNA from 1 species
GGAUUCCUGGCAGAGUGAUUUGGUUUUAUGUAAUAAAAUCACAUUGCCAGGGAUUUCC